rnacentral:rRNA from 1 species
CAAUAGCGUAUAUUAACGUUGUUGCAGUUAAAAAGCUCGUAGUUGGAUUUCUGGAGGGAGCGUCGGCCCGUAUUUACGAGUGCGUGACGUCUCUGUCCAUCCUUGUGGGAAGGCACGGCAUUGAUUUGUUGUGUCGGAUCGCAUCAUUUACUGUGAAAAAAUUAGAGUGUUUAAAGCAGGCCUUCGCCUUGAAUACAUUAGCAUGGAAUAAUAAGAUAGGACUUUGGUCUAUUUUGUUGGUUUGCAGACCGAAGUAAUGAUUAAUAGGGAUAGUUGGGGGUAUUUAUAUUCCGAUGUCAGAGGUGAAAUUCUUAGAUUUUCGGAAGAUAAACUUAUGCGAANGNAUUUACNAAGGAUGUUUNCAUUA